UACGUAGGGGGCAAGCGUUGUCCGGAAUCAUUGGGCGUAAAGCGCGUGUAGGCGGGUCGGUAAGUCCGCUCUGAAAGCCCGGGGCUCAACCCCGGGAGGCGGGUGGAUACUGUCGACCUCGAGUCCGGAAGAGGCGAGUGGAAUCCUGGUGUAGCGGUGAAAUGCGCAGAUAUCAGGAGGAACACCAAUGGCGAAGGCAGCUCGCUGGGACGGUACUGACGCUGAGACGCGAAAGCGUGGGGAGCAAACAGG
rnacentral:rRNA from 1 species